rnacentral:rRNA from 1 species
CAGCCGCCACGGUAAUACGAAGGGGGCUAGCGUUGCUCGGAAUUACUGGGCGUAAAGGGCGCGUAGGCGGCGCUCCAAGUUAGGCGUGAAAUUCCCGGGCUCAACCUGGGGACUGCGCUUAAGACUGGAGUGCUUGAGGAUGGAAGAGGGUUGUGGAAUUCCCAGUGUAGAGGUGAAAUUCGUAGAUAUUGGGAAGAACACCGGUGGCGAAGGCGGCAACCUGGUCCAUUACUGACGCUGAGGCGCGAUAGCGUGGGGAGCAAACAGGAUUAGAUACCCCGGUAGUCCCUGUCUCUUAUAC